UAAGCAGACUAAAUUCCUAAGUUCCUUGGAGUCCCGGGACCAAGAUGGCGACCGCUGCUGCUGUGGCUUAGGCCGCCUCCCCUGCCGGGUGGGCACCUGUCCUCUGGUCCGGAAGGUGGCCGGCUGUCCCCGGCCCACACAGGGUGCUGCCUCAGCGCCUCUGUGCUUCUGCCUGUUCCAGAAGCUGUCAGGUUCUCUGGCGCACCCUCUCACCUGUUCAGACUAAUUCCCUAAGUUCGGCGGGUCCCGGACCAAGAUGGCGACCGCUGCUGCUGUGGCUUAGGUCGCCUCCCCAGCCGGGCGGGCACCUGUCCUCUGGUCCGGAAGGUGGCCGGCUGUCCCCGGCCCACACAGGGUGCUGCCUCAGCGCCUCUGUGCUUCUGCCUGUUCCAGAAGCUGUCAGGUUCUCUGGCGCACCCUCUCACCUGUUCAGACUAAUUUCCUAAGUUCGGCGGGUCCCGGACCAAGAUGGCGACCGCUGCUGCUGUGGCUUAGGCCGCCUCCCCAGCCGGGUGGGCACCUGUCCUCUGGUCCGGAAGGUGGCCGGCUGUCCCGGCCCACACAGGGUGCUGCCUCAGCGCCUCUGUGCUUCCGCCUGUUCCAGAAGCUGUCAGGUUCUCUGGCGCUCAUGGUAGUUUUUAAAUGGGAUGCUUAAACCCUUCUCAAAACAUAAAAGCAUCUCAUUUUUUCCUGGUAGCCACAGGGAUUUAACACGGUCCCUAGGUGUGUUAGAGAAACACUGUGCCAUUGAGAUACACCUCCAUCCAAAACGCAGUUCUUUACACCGAUUUUUAAAGCAUUUUAUCAUUAGCUAUGAUUUUGGAGCUGACACUGUGAAGAGAAUUCUUUUUGAACUAAAAAAUAAGCCUUUAUAUUUCUGGCUGAUUUACCUUAGUGAGGUGAUCAAAUUAUGCAGCAAUCAUACAGCACCACUAUAGUAAUCAGAGUUUAAGACCUUUCCCACUGCCUGUACUCAUUCUUUGGACAUAAAUAAAUAAAUAAAUAAAUAAAUAAAUAAAUAGGAGAGGUGCAAUUCAUAUAAUAAUUUUGAUUUAAGAUACAUAUAACCCAGUCUCUCAUAUCUUUGAAUUCAGUUACCUAUGACAACUGCAAUCUAAAAAUAGUAAGUAGAAGAUUAUAGAAAUAAAUAAUUUCCUCUGUAUAGCAUGAUAAAACAGAGUAGCAGCACACUGUUCUGCCUGGUACAUAAACCACUCCUUUAUUCAAUGUAUCCACUGGAUACAUACAUAGUGUAUCCACACUAUAUAUGAUGGCUUCCCAUUAGUUACUUAGUAGCCAUCCUGGUUUAUCAGAUUAUGGGACAUCUUAUUGCAAAGUGUGUUCAAGUAUGAGAACGAUAAUACCCCUAAUUCUGGUGUGCCAAAGAAAAGUUAUAAGAUGCUUCAUUUACAUAGAAAAAAGGUUGGUCUGGGAAGACAGCUCAGUUGGUAAGGUGCUUGCCACACAAGCACAGGAUCUGAAUUUGAUCCCCAAAAUCCAAAGAGAAAGUCCAGGCAUGGGUUUGUGUGUUGGUAAUCCCAGUGUUAGGCAGGAGGCCAAAAGGUUCCCUAAAUCUUGCUCACCAACUAGCCUGACCCCAGAUGGUGAGUUUCAAGCCAGUGAAAGAUCCUAUCUCAAAAGGAGAACAGCAUUUUUGAGGAUGGCAGCUGAUGUUGUCCUCUGGCCUCCACACACAAAUGGGUGAGUGUGCCCACAGGCACACGUGGACACAAUUAGAGGCUGUGAGAGACCACCUCACCUGCACUUAACUUUUAGUAGGGUAUUUUGUUAUAGUUGGUCUAUUCUCUCAUUGGUUUGCUAAUGACUCACUGUGUACACUUGAUAAUGUUUAUCCUGGGUCUGUAUGCAGUGGAGAAUAAACACAUACAUGGGGUUUCAUACUAUCCAAACCCUGCGUUUACUGAAACUCCUGAACAGCAUCCUCUUUGGAUAAGAGGAAACAAUUCUAAGAUUCUAAGAUGCAUAGAUACUGUAUAUCUAAUAAGCCACAGGAUACUAGAGACAACAGAUGUUCUUUUAGGUUUUUUUUGAGACAGGGUUUCUCUAUGUAGCUCUGGUUGCCCUGGAACUCACUCUGUAGACCAGGCUGGCCUAGAACUCACAGAGAUCUGCCUGCCUCGGCUUCCUGAGUGCUGGGAUUAAAGGUGUGCACCACUACCACCUGGCUCACAGAAGGUGUUUUUUAGAAACAUUGGAGGUUCUGUUCUAAACCACUACAAUAAAACCAUACAUCCCAAUAAGGGGGGUUACACAAACAUUUUGGCUUCCCAGUACAUACAAAAUUUACAUCUAUACUAGACCUAGAGUCUAUUAAGUAUAUAAUAGCAUUCUAUGUACUCAGUGUAUAUACUGAGGUUCAAUGACUCCACGGUUAGAGCACUUGAUGUUUUAUAGAGAACCAAGGAUCAGUUCCCAGAAGCCCUUAGGAAGGAGCUCACAAGUCCAGUUCCAGUGGAUCUGACGCCCACGAUCACAUGCAAGGCACAUGGCACAUAAGGACAUGCAAGUACCCACACAGACAUGCAAGCACCCACAUAUGCACAUAAAUAAGUCAUUUUAAUUAACUUAAAAUUUUUAAUUUUUAAAUUUUUUAAACUUAGUUUUUAAACUGCUUUUUGCU
rnacentral:lncRNA from 1 species